rnacentral:lncRNA from 1 species
CAUGCAGGAAAGUGCACAUGAAGGGAAAAAAAUGGCUUUGCUAAAUCCAGUCCUAUGGAAAGCGGAGUCCUGUGUAGCUCCUAAGUACAAAGGAAGAAAUAGUUGAAAAUAAUCUACUUUAGUUGAAUUAAGGAAGCUAAGUAUUACUGCAGGAACCUAAGAAAAACCCCUUUGACUUCCUGGAAACUGAAAGAAGUUUUUUUGAAGAAGUAAUUGUCUCUGACAUCACUACAGUGCAUUGUGAGUUUGUGAGUGGUUAGUUAGGGUAACAGAGGAAGCAACUCCUUCACAGAUAAGCUGGCAGUGCAAUAGAGAGACACAUGCUGUUUCAUAAGGAUACACCUGAUUUCCAGAAAUAACCAUGUUUUUGUGGCUUAAACUCUUAGCAUUUGGUGUUGCAUUUCUGGGACAGGAUGCUUUUCUCAAAGGGCAGGAGACAACAACGAUCGCACCUGAAACUACCACAGUGAUACCUGAAGCAUCUUGUGAUAUUAUCAAAAACAUAGAAGACUCUGAGAACGACUCUAAAAUGGCUUCAGUUUUACUGAACAUUCCCACAGAAGACAAAGAAUAUAUUAUUUUGGGGGAUGGCAUAGACAUAACUGUGAGUUCCAGCAACAAAUCAGUAGAGCUUCCAAAAUGCCAGAAUUACACUGUUAAAGUUAAAAAUGGCAAGUGUUCAGACAGUACUUCUUCUUCUUUUCUUGUUCCAAAAGUUGCCAAUGAACCUCUUCAAGUCAACAACCAAGGCAACACCUCUGCCAGGUUAUGUUGGAGUAUCUCACUUGCCUGUGCUAAUGUGACUGUUACCUGCAAUGGGACACUUUCAAUGUAUUCUGAAAGUGGGUUAUUUAUUUAUUUAUCUUUAAAAUCAUUAUUGAUGUUGUAUUUUGAUGAAAGACUGGCAGAUUUAAUU